UUACAAUUUUAACCUUUAUUUAAGUAUAUCACAGCAGUUUAUUCAGAAGUACAGUAAGUGUUACAUUUUAAAUUUUAAUUUACACUAAAUGUAACACAUACAUAAGAAUGGGUUUGUGUUUAUUUUCCAAAACAAAUCUUAAAAUGCUACAAAAGCUAUUGACAAAACGUGUCAAAAAGGUGUGGAAAACAUGUAAGAAAAAAAUGAACGCCAUUAUUGGAUUAAGUAGUCUCAACUACCAGACAAAAAUUGGUUGUUAGUCCUUAAAUGUAUCAACAUUAAAUGUGUGACAUUUCACUAUCAAUUUAUUUUACUCUGAAAUGCAUUUUUAAUCAAAUGUAUUACCCUCUUGGCAAAAGGACACAAAAGUAACGAAACAUAGGAGACGAAAGUACCAGUUUGAAUACACCCAUCUUGUGGUCUGUAGACAGACUGAAAUGCCAUAUUUCUUGUGAAAUUCUGUUCUGCGAUUAAGUUUUUACCAGUAUGUUGACCACCUAACCCCAAAUCACAUUGAAAAUAAAUAGAAACUUUAAAGAGCAAGUGUUGCAUGUGUUGAACCUGAGAGAACUGUAAACCCUAAAUUCCCCUCACAUGCAGCCCCAAAAAACCUGCUACACAAACGCUACACAACUUUCAUUCGUUACACAUCAAAUGUACAAAAAAAAGACGUUAUACUGAAAAUGAAGUGAAAAAACAUGUUUAAUAUCAUUAAUAAAUAAAAGGAAACAAAUAAUAGAUCCAAGUGAGAUGAGAACCUGCAAAACUUAUAAUUUGAAGAAAAACAAAUUCCAUCGAGAUAAUACAAGGCAAUAAGCCUACGACUGAAAAAAAAAAAAGAUUUGCUUUGUCAACUCGAAAGUUUAAAAUCAUACAGUUGAAGAAGUUUCCUUAACAUAAGCAACGAUUCCUCCGGGCUCAAUUGUAAACAGACGAACCUACGGAAACAAAAUAAAAGCCCCCCCACAACAAAUAGAAUGAAAUACACCUGGGAUAACUGCGACAGACGUGGAACAGAUCAUGUUGUACCUUCGCUGGUAUGUGCUGAGACAGUUUUCAGAAGAAAAAAAACAAAAACAGAAAAAAAACAACAAAGUACUGCAUACUAUACCCAGUAAACUCACAUGUGUUGAUGUGGUUGUUGUGUUCAAAAUAAAUUAGGCUGAGGUAGCUCUGGUUUCUCUCUGCAGUAGUCCCGAGUGCCAGGCCGUGGAUGCCAGUCUGUUUGCGCUUUCUUAUCGGACCGCGCGGUGGAAGCGGAGGAGAAGGCCGUGGUGAGUGGGGGUGAUGGAGAGAUAGCGGUAGACGGCGGGGUUGUCUCACACCGGCCGCGUUUGUGGUUGAAGCCCACGUCUGCUGAACGGGUUCUCGUUCGAACAAACAAAACAAACAUGGCAAUGCCAGGAUUGUUAUUUCAUAACUUCAGUUAAUGUGUUUGACUUGACUGCAGACAAGAUGACAAAUAUUGUGUUGCCCCUCCGGAGACGAAAUCCCUCGGGCGUUUAUUUAUUUUUUUAACUGAUGUACGCGGGAAGAGAAAAAACAAAAAUCAAAUGGGAAACCGGCAAAACCACAACGAAAAUGAAUUUCAUUUCUUAGCGACUGGCACUGCCUAGAAUGUCCUUGAUCAUUAUCACACGCCGACGACUCGGGAGAAGAAAAACAAUUUCAACAUCGAUUCCGGAGCCAUUUCGUAUGCGUCUCUUUAGAAGCAGGAUGACAAAACAAUACGGGUGAAGAAUGCAUUUCUGUGCGGCCCGUCUGACAUCGGAUCUCGAGUGUUUCUGUGUCGAAGGGGAACGAGCACCACUGUAUUCACAGCCUAGCACCUAUGAAGAAGAGGUGGUUGAGGAAAGGGGGGGGGGGCACAUCAUGGCACAGAGAAUCCUGCUGUGAACUAGCCAAUAAGACGUUGGCAUUGUUGGUUAACUUCCCUAAUUAACCGCUGCAUGGGUCUAUUGAACUGAACAUACGCUUAUAUUUAUAUACAUCAAAACUCAAGUUUAAGUUGAGGUGCGCCUGCUUUACAUGACUGGACCGCGAGGCAUAUGCACGAUGUAUACGCUUCAUAUGAGUCACAGAUGAUGUCGUCGCUCUUUCUGCUGUUUUCUGUCCAUUUUGAGAUAUUUUUUGUUUGUGUUUAAUUUUUUGAUAUUUUUGGGCAAAUAAUAACUCCUUUGGUCAUGUCCCAAGUCUGGUCACAAGUGACUAAAUUUGUGAGCCUGAGAGAGUGUGUAUUUAUAAACACACAGACCUCAACACAAAGUGGGGGGCAAAGGGUUGAAAAGCGGGUCCCCCCCAGACUGGUGACGAACCCUAAAUAAAUCCCUGAAACCAGGCCAACGUACGGAUUCACCCACAACGUUUCAAAUAAGGCACACGCUAGGCAGUGCAGAAAACUACAGACGAGGUUCUAGUCUGAACCGCUUCCAGUUCCCCCCGCCUGGGUGUCAGGAAAGGAAGCCGAGGCGGCACGCGGGGGACACAGCUUGAUUGGGAAGGGAAACAUGUACACUGUGAACGGGCUGUGUGUGUGUGGGAGGGGCCUGUAUGAGCACCACCGCCGUCGCCACGUGACGAUCAAGGGGAAUACUUCGAAUAACAAGUCGAAGGGAGGUCCGAGAGUUUCGCAGUUCGGAGGGAGAGGUUUUGCGUGCACCGCAGCGCGGUAAAGUCAAACUUUUUUUUGGCUAGCUGCUCCUUUUUUUUUUUUUUGUCAUUGUUUUUUUUUGCUUUUUCCCACUAACGCAACCUCGAGGAACAUGUCGGUGAGACGCUGAGGAGUAGGUUGUUAUUUACUCUGUCGACGGACCGACUGAAAGUGUGUGAACUCAAAAAUCCUUGUUAGGGGUGUGAGGGAGGGGACACAGAAUCGUAAUAUAAUAAUGGAGACUGCAAAGAAGCUGGAAAUGGGCCAUGAGAUAACCGCCGAAUGAUGAAACACGGCACCGAAGGGCGAGAGAGUAGAAUAGUUCAGUGAUCCAGAACCACACCCGCCCUCGUUUCACAUUCACACUUCUGCUGGUGAGGAUCUUCUCAGUGUGUGCGCUUGUGCGUGUCCUUCACUCGCACACUUGUCUUUUGCGUUUGUUUCCCAGUCUGCAUUAGUGUGUCUGCACAAACGUGUGUACACGGCCAGCACCUAUAAAAGACAUGGGCAGGUUUGACAUCACCCAAUCAGUGUGAUUGUAGCUUGUCCGGGAGUCCAGAGUGUGAAGGUAAUCCCAAGAGCAGCAUGGAUAAACGUUAGCAUAGCACCCGAGUAGCACCAGCGUGGCCUGUGGUUGUGUCCGUGUGCAUGAGUUUAUCAGUGUGUGUGUGUGUGUGUGUGUUUGUCUAUGUUUCUGUGUGUGCGUGUCUGGAUGUGACUGGAUGUGUUUGUGUGUGUGGAUGUGUCUGGAUGUGUGUGUGUGUGUCUGAAUGUGCCAGGGUGUGUGCAUGUGUGUGUGUGUGUGUGUGUUUCCUUGCGCUUGUUUCUUUGUGUUUGUGUAUGUAUGGGUGUGUGUGAGUGUUUCUGUCUAUGUAUACAUCAGUGUGUGUGCGCGUGUGCGAUUGACACAACACCUCCAGGAGUUUGGUUAUGCAGAACCGAUCUGGGUCGGGCCAGUUUCCUGAGACAAUAGCACCAUAGAAUGUCCCCUUCUCCAUGUCCACGCUUCGGCCACAGGAAGGGGGCUUGAUUUGCUCUUUUUUUCGCGUUUCCCCAGCACCGACAUCACCUCCACCGUCACGUUAAAGGACUGGACUCUGAAAGUUGCCCAUAGUCUAUCUCUCUCUCUCCUGCUCCCUCUCCUUGUGUUUUGUUCUGCGUCUUGUUUCGUCUUGCCUCCAUGGUCCAACACUCUCUUACUCCUCUUACUCCUAGCCCCCCGGGGAGGGGGCUUCACCACCCCCCUAGAGUGACUUCUGGGUCUCACAGGAAUGUGUCGAAAUGCUGGACGCACUCUUCCAUGUCCUGUAGCCAUCCAGCCAGAGAGAAGAGCGGGA
ensembl:lncRNA